UACGUAGGGCGCAAGCGUUGUCCGGAAUUAUUGGGCGUAAAGAGCUCGUAGGCGGUUUGUCGCGUCUGCUGUGAAAACCUAAGGCUCAACCUUGGGCUUGCAGUGGGUACGGGCAGACUAGAGUGCGGUAGGGGUGACUGGAAUUCCUGGUGUAGCGGUGGAAUGCGCAGAUAUCAGGAGGAACACCGAUGGCGAAGGCAGGGUC
rnacentral:rRNA from 1 species